UUUUAUUAAUCUAUCUCAUAAGAGAAAAUAUCUUUUAGAUUGAAUGAAACUUAUUGUACACUAGCGUCUAAGUUAUUUAUUUUGAAUAGAACUUCGAGGUUGGUUAAUGGAUGGACAUAACGGUUCAUUGAAAGUGAAGUCACUACCAACAUGUGAGUUCUGUUCAAGAAGGAAAAAUAACUAAGAGACCUUUCCUCUUAAAAAGGAAAAAGU
rnacentral:lncRNA from 1 species